UAGGGAAUAUUGGUCAAUGGGCGCAAGCCUGAACCAGCCAUGCCGCGUGCAGGAUGAAGGCCCUAUGGGUCGUAAACUGCUUUUGUACGGGAAGAAAUCUCAUUACGUGUAAUGAGUUGACGGUACCGUGAGAAUAAGGAUCGGCUAACUUCGUGCCAGCAGCCGCGGUAAUACGAAGGAUCCAAGCGUUGUCCGGAUUUACUGGGUUUAAAGGGUGCGUAGGCGGAUGAUUAAGUCAGUGGUGAAAGCCUGCAGCUUAACUGUAGAAUUGCCAUUGAAACUGAUCAUCUCGAAUGUGGUUGAGGUAACUGGAAUGUUGCAUGUAGCGGUGAAAUGCUUAGAUAUGCAACAGAACACCAAUUGCGAAGGCAGGUUACUAAGCCAUUAUUGACGCUGAGGC
rnacentral:rRNA from 1 species